rnacentral:rRNA from 1 species
AUGAACGCUAGACGACAGGCCUAACACAUGCAAGUCGAGGGGCAGCACAAGGAGCAAUCUGAGGUGGCGACCGGCGCACGGGUGAGUAACACGUAUGCAACCUGCCUGUAAGAGGGGAAUAACCCGUUGAAAGACGGACUAAUACCGCAUAAUACUAAAUUACUGCAUGGUAAUUUAUUUAAACAUUUAUGGCUUACAGAUGGGCAUGCGCAUGAUUAGCUAGUUGGAGAGGUAACGGCUCCCCAAGGCAACGAUCAUUAGGGGUUCUGAGAGGAAGGUCCCCCACACUGGUACUGAGACACGGACCAGACUCCUACGGGAGGCAGCAGUGAGGAAUAUUGGUCAAUGGACGAGAGUCUGAACCAGCCAAGUCGCGUGCAGGAAGAAUGUUCCCUAUGGAUUGUAAACUGCUUUUGCGAGGGGAAUAAAGUGCAUCACGUGUGAUGUUUUGUAUGUACUCUGCGAAUAAGGAUCGGCUAACUCCGUGCCAGCAGCCGC